UGGGGAAUCUUGCGCAAUGGGCGAAAGCCUGACGCAGCAACGCCGCGUGGGGGAUGAAGGCUUUCGGGUUGUAAACCCCUUUCAGCAGGGACGAUUAUGACGGUACCUGCAGAAGAAGGACCGGCCAACUACGUGCCAGCAGCCGCGGUAAUACGUAGGGUCCAAGCGUUGUCCGGAUUUAUUGGGCGUAAAGAGCUCGUAGGUGGUUCGCUAAGUCGGAUGUGAAAACUCGGGGCUCAACCCCGAGACGCCAUCCGAUACUGGCGUGACUUGAGUCUGGUAGGGGAGAUCGGAAUUCCUGGUGUAGCGGUGAAAUGCGCAGAUAUCAGGAGGAACACCGGUGGCGAAGGCGGAUCUCUGGGCCAGUACUGACACUGAGGAGCGAAAGCAUGGGGAGCGAAC
rnacentral:rRNA from 1 species